AACGUAGCGAAAGUUACGCUAAUACCGCAUACGAUCUAAGGAUGAAAGCGGGGGAUCGCAAGACCUCGCGCGAUUGGAGCGGCCGAUAUCAGAUUAGGUAGUUGGUGAGGUAAAGGCUCACCAAGCCAACGAUCUGUAGCUGGUCUGAGAGGACGACCAGCCACACUGGAACUGAGACACGGUCCAGACUCCUACGGGAGGCAGCAGUGGGGAAUUUUUGGACAAUGGACGCAAGUCUGAUCCAGCCAUUCCGCGUGCAGGAUGAAGGCCCUCGGGUUGUAAACUGCUUUGUACGGAACGAAAAGGUUUGUCUUAAUACGAUGAGCUCAUGACGGUACCGUAAGAAUAAGCACCGGCUAACUACGUG
rnacentral:rRNA from 1 species